AACAAUUACUCUGAAUUGAAACAGGUACCACGGCAAGAAAAGGAACAGAGUGAAAAAUGGACAUCACAGAGAGACAAAAGGAAUCUGGCCGGGAAACACUUACCUGUGAGAAGUGCUGCUGUUACCAUUGAAAGUACUCCCUGAAGAAGAUCCCAGUGAUGAAUAUGACUGUACUGUGUGCCUAAAAUGUACCAAUAAACUCAAUGAGAAAAGAAGAAAGAAAGUACUCCCUGAAAGCCAUCAUUUUCCCCAGCAACCUUAUCUUCUAGUCAAGAGGAUGAAAUCUCCAGA
rnacentral:lncRNA from 1 species